AUUCUUGCCUACCCUUGCAGAUAGAGUCUGCAGUACAAAGCUGUCAAACAUGGUUAUUUCAUGAGUGGAAUUUCACGAUCUAGUUCCCCUCUGUGCACACCCUUGAAAGCUGGAUCUGGUGACACUGCAUAUGUGUUCCUAGAAGACCCUGUCCAACUGAUAUUGGCAUAAGUUCCCUCCCUCCUCAAGUCCAUCUUGUUCGCAUGAGGAGGAAGCCUGUGCUGCCUGUAAAGACCUGCAAGAAUUUCUGCUGGGUGUGAGUGAACUAUGGUUGAUGUUUAAAUGCAAAUCAAACCAAUCUGCUUCAUACAUGAAGAUCUACCAUACUGCCUUAGGGAACUCUGGAGUAUUGAGUUACCUUACCUUACACAGCUGGACUGAGUUUUCUUGAUGUCCAUAACUCCUUCUUCUGUGGAUGUUUGAAGGAGAAUCUCCUCUUCCCUUAAACAAGGUUACCUCAUGGACAAAAUAAUUCUGCAGACUGCAUCAGUGGCCAUCAGAAUGGG